rnacentral:rRNA from 1 species
UACGGGGGGGGCAAGCGUUGUUCGGAAUUACUGGCGUAAAGGGCUCGUAGGCGGCCAACUAAGUCGGAUGUGAAAUCCCCCAGCUUAACCUGGGAACUGCAUCCGAUACUGGAUGGCUUGAAUCCGGGAGAGGGAUGCGGAAUUCCAGGUGUAGCGGUGAAAUGCGUAGAUAUCUGGAGGAACACCGGUGGCGAAGGCGCAUCCUGGCGGCAUUGACGCUGAGGAGCGGAAAGCCAGGGGAGCAAAACGGGG